GUGUGCUUAAACGCGUAAUCAAUUUGGCGCCGUUGCCGGGGAACUAGUAGAUUUAUCAUUAGGAUUUUAAUCUUUCUUGAGACUAAGCUUUAUUUGCUUGGUUUGUUUUGCUUUUGUAAAGUUACUAACCUUUUAUUCUAGAUUUUCUCUUUUGUAGUGAUGGCUUCAAGCUACUUUGAGAAGCCACAAGAAGAGGAAUACACAUUUGAAGAUCACAUUGAAGAUGAGCCCUAUGUGUUUGUGGAGCCACCACC
rnacentral:lncRNA from 1 species